rnacentral:pre_miRNA from 1 species
AAAGUACUCCCUCCGUCCCAAAAUUCUUAUCUUAGAUUUGUCUAGCUACGGAUGUAUCAAGUUACAUUUUAGUAUUAGAUACAUCCAUAUCUAGACAAAUCUAAGACAAGAAAUUUGGGACAAAGGGAGUAGUUG